rnacentral:rRNA from 1 species
AUUGAACGCUGGCGGCAUGCUUUACACAUGCAAGUCGAACGGCAGCGCGGGCUUCGGCCUGGCGGCGAGUGGCGAACGGGUGAGUAAUAUAUCGGAACGUACCCAAGAGUGGGGAUAACGUAGCGAAAGUUACGCUAAUACCGCAUACGAUCUAAGGAUGAAAGCAGGGGAUCGCAAGACCUUGUGCUCCUGGAGCGGCCGAUAUCUGAUUAGCUAGUUGGUGAGGUAAAGGCUCACCAAGGCAACGAUCAGUAGCUGGCCUGAGAGGACGACCAGCCACACUGGAACUGAGACACGGUCCAGACUCCUACGGGAGGCAGCAGUGGGGAAUUUUGGACAAUGGGGGCAACCCUGAUCCAGCAAUGCCGCGUGAGUGAAGAAGGCCUCGG